rnacentral:rRNA from 1 species
AUUGGAUUUGGCGGCAAAAUACCCUUUUAGAGGAACCUGCCCUAUAAACGAUGGUCCACGACUACCUGACUUUUUUUAGUAAUCAGUUUACAUACCGCUGUUGCCAGUUAGUUUCUUUAGAAAAUUAUCGAUUAUUAGAAAAUAAUGGACUUCAAGUAAAGGUGUAGUUUAUGAAAAAGACAGAGGUGGGUUACAUUUGAGAGAACAAUUACGGAUAUUCCUAAGAAAAAGGUUUUGAAGGAGGAUUUAAUAGUAAAAUUUUUUUAAUUUGAUAUGAGCAAUAUUUUGUGCACAAACCGCCCGUC